GCCCGGGUGACGGGCGGGCGCUUCCGGGCGGGAAUUUCGGGGUGACGGAGCUGAGGGCAGCCGCGUUCCGGGCGGCUCUGCGGCACCAUGGCCCAGCGCAUCCUGGAGCUGGCGGCCGAGGAGGCCCCGGAGCGACUCCAGGAGGCCCUGCAGAGCCUGGGGGAGAGCGAGCUGGGCGACAUGGUGACAAGGCAGGCCCUGAAGGGGAGGGAGACGGCAGCUUUGCUAAGAGGCAUCUUCAAAGGCUCCCCUUGUGCCCAGAGAAGUGGUGUUCUCAGGAGGCUUCAGGUGUACAAGCACUGCAUCCUGCUAGUGGAGUCAGGGGACCUGAAUUUGGGCAAGGUGUCUGAGAUCAUAGGACUGCUGAUGCUGGAGGCUCGCCAGCUGCCAGGCCACGCAUUGGCUGAACUUGCCACCCUGUUCGUUGAUGUUGUUAAAGGCAGCAGCCUGUCUAAUGGGAAAUCCUUGGAGUUGUUUUCCACUGUUCUCACUGCACUGGCCAGUCUGAAGGAGAACCUGGCUUAUGGAAAAGGUGAACUGAAUGGGGAAGAGUUUAAGAAACAACUGAUAAACACCCUCUGCUCAAGCAAGUGGGAUCCUCAGAGUGUAAUACAUCUUGCCAACAUGUUCAGGGAUAUUCCACUAUCGGGAGAGGAGCUGCAGUUUGUGGUGGAAAAGGUCCUUAGGAUGUUCUCCAAAUUAGACCUGCAGGAAAUUCCCCCUCUGGUCUAUCAGCUGCUGCUGCUUUCUGCAAAGGGCAGUAAGAAGACUGUUUUAGAAGGAAUAAUCAGUUUUUUCAAUGAGUUGGAUAAGAGACAGAAGGAAGAACAGAGGGUUCCACAAUCAGUGGACCUUAAGGUAGCCACAAUGCCCCUAGACCAGCUCCGCCAUGUGGAAGGUACCGUUAUUCUCCAUAUCGUUUCUGUUAUCAACCUGGAUCAGGACCUAGGCAAGGAACUAAUCAGACUUCUAAAGGCUGAGCAACAAAAGGACCCUGGCAGAGCCCUGUGUCCCUUCAGUGUGGCUCUUUUGCUGUCGGUUGCAGUAAAACACAGACUGCAAGAGCAGAUAUUUGAUUUAUUGAAAACAUCAAUCACAAGAAGCUGCAAGGACCUGCAGUUCCUUCAGGCCUCCAAGUUCCUGCAAGAUUUGUUUCCUCAACAGUAUGAUGUAACUGCUGUAAUUCUGGAAGUGGUAAAAAAUAGUGCAUUUGGCUGGGACCACGUUACUCAGGGCCUGGUGGAUCUUGGCUUCAGCCUAAUGGAAUCAUAUGAACCAAAAAAGCCCUUUGGAGGAAAAACUGCUGAUACCAGUUCUGGCCUUUCAAAAAUGCCAGCCCAGCAGGCUUGCAGACUGGGAGCGAGUAUCCUGCUGGAAACAUUUAAGGUUCACGACCCCAUCAGAAGUGAUAUUCUUGAGCAGGUCCUGAAUAGAGUCCUUACAAAAGCAGCGUCUCCUGUCAGCCACUUCAUAGACUUGCUGUCCAAUAUUGUUGUGUCUGCUCCUCUUGUGCUUCAGACUUCAUCCUCCAAAGUCACAGAGACCUUUGACAAUUUAUCCUUUCUGCCCAUUGACACAGUGCAAGGGCUCCUCCGGGCAGUACAGCCUCUGCUCAAAGUCAGCAUGUCAGCGAGGGACUCCCUGAUACUUGUUCUCCAAAAAGCUAUAUUUUCCAGGCAGCUUGAUGCUCGUAAAGCUGCAGUUGCUGGCUUCUUGCUUCUGUUAAGAAAUUUUAAGAUUCUGGGCAGCUUGUCCUCUUCCCAGUGCAGCCAGGCCAUUGGUGCCACUCAGGUCCAGGCAGAUGUUCAUGCCUGCUAUAAUUCUGCAGCUAAUGAGGCCUUCUGCCUGGAAAUCCUGGGCAGCCUGAGGCGAUGUUUGAGCCAGCAAGCGGAUGUUCGACUCAUGUUAUAUGAGGGUUUUUAUGAUGUCCUUCGCAGGAACUCCCAGCUGGCCAGCUCUAUAAUGGAAAUGCUCUUGUCCCAGAUAAAGCAAUAUUACUUGCCCCAGCCAGACCUCCUGCCUCCAUUGAAACUUGAAGGAUGUAUUAUGGCUCAAGGAGAUCAAAUCUUUCUGCAAGAACCAUUGGCCCAUCUGCUCUGCUGUAUCCAGCACUGUCUUGCCUGGUAUAAGAGCACUGUGCGUCUGUGCCAACGAGCUGAAGAUGACGAUGAGGAGGAGGAUGUGGGAUUUGAGCAAAACUUUGAAGACAUGCUAGAAUCUGUCACACGGCGAAUGAUCAAGAGUGAGCUGGAAGACUUUGAACUGGAUAAGUCAGCAGAUUUUUCUCUGUCUUCUGGUGUUGGUGUAAAGAAUAACAUCUAUGCCAUCCAGGUGAUGGGAAUUUGUGAGGUCCUGAUUGAGUACAAUUUCAACAUAGGGAAUUUCAGUAAGAACAAGUUUGAGGAUGUCCUAGGCUUGUUUACAUGUUACAACAAACUCUCUGAAAUCCUGAAGGAGAAAGCUGGAAAGAACAAAUCUACCUUGGGCAACAAAACUGCACGGAGCUUCCUGUCCAUGGGUUUUGUAUCUACUCUGCUCACAGCUCUGUUCAGGGACAAUGCCCAAAGCCACGAGGAGAGCCUGGCAGUUCUGCGCUCCAGCACAGAGUUCCUGCGCUAUGCUGUCAGUGUAGCUCUGCAGAAAGUGCAGCAGCUGGAGGAGACAGGACAAACUGAUGGACCAGAUGGACAAAAUCCUGAGAAGAUGUUUCAGAACCUCUGCAAAAUCACACGGGUUCUGCUUUGGAGGUACACAUCAGUUCCCACUGUUGUUGAAGAGUCGGGGAAGAAGAAGGGCAAAAGCAUUUCGCUCCUGUGCUUGGAAGGUUUGCUGCGGAUCUUCAACACGGUGCAGCAGCUCUAUGCUGCCAGGAUCCCCCAGUUUCUACAAGCCCUGGAUAUUACUGAUGGUGACGCAGAAGAAACGGAUAUUAAUGUCACAGAGAAAGCUGCCUUCCAGAUCCGACAGUUUCAGAGGUCUCUGGUGAACCAGUUCAGCAGUGCUGAAGAUGACUUCAACUCCAAGGAAACACAGUCACUCAUCACAGUUCUCUCCACUUUGUCCAAACAUCUCGAUCCAGCCUCUCAGCAGUUCCUUCAAUUCCUGACUUGGACAGUGAAAAUUUGCAAAGAAAAUGCUCUUGAGGAUGUCUCUUGCUGCAAAGGUUUGCUGUCUCUGCUCUUCAGUCUCCAUGUUCUGUACAAGAGCCCUGUCGGUCUGCUGCGUGAGCUCGCACAAGACAUCCAUGCUUGCCUGGGAGACAUAGAUCAGGAUAUGGAGGUGGAGAGUCGAUCCCAUUUUGCCAUAGUGAAUGCCAAGACUGCAGCCCCUACUGUCUGUCUGCUGGUUCUGGCUCAGGCGGAUAAGGUCCUUGAAGAAGUGGAUUGGCUUAUCAAGAAACUCACCAGUCUGGGAUCAGACGCAUCAGAAGACUCUUCUCAGGCAUCAAACCAAAGCCAGGCUCUGGAGAAAGGUGUAAUUCUGCAGCUGGGAACUCUGCUGACAGUUUAUCAUGAGCUGGUACAGACAGCACUCCCUGCGGGGAGCUGUGUGGACACGCUGCUGCGAAGCCUCAGCAAGACAUACGCAAUUCUCACCUCCCUCGUCAAACAUUAUAUCCAAGCUUGCCGCAGCACAUCGAAUACAAUUCCAGGAAGGCUAGAAAAGCUGGUGAAGCUCUCGGGUUCCCAUUUGACUCCACAGUGUUACUCAUUCAUUACGUAUGUACAGCUUGUAAUGCUGUCAGCUGGCCAGAGCCUUACUUGGCUGGCCUUUCUUCCCUGCUGACCCUCUAAUGCCACAUGUUUUGGCAUCCUCCUUCAGAACAUCCACAGUGAGAGCUUAAGCUUUGCAGAAGAGAAGAAAAAGAAGAAGAAAGAGGGUGAAGCUGCUGCGGUCUCCACAGCCAUGGCUAAGGUGCUUCGGGAGACUAAGCCAAUCCCAAAUCUGAUUUUUGCAAUAGAGCAAUAUGAGAAGUUCCUUAUCCAUCUCUCCAAGAAAUCAAAGGUGAACUUGAUGCAAUACAUGAAGCUAAGCACCUCCCGGGACUUCCGCAUCAACGUGUCCAUGCUAGACAGCACCUUGCAGGAGCACAACACAGAGGAUGCUGAAAACGAGCCAGACAAUGACCAGAGCUGCACAGCAGAGCAGACAGAUGAGAACCAGGAACCCAAGAAGAAGAAACGGCGAAAAAAAUAAAGCUGCUGCUCCCUCCUCCCAGUGCCUGUUCUGUGGCGGCCUCACCUUGACUUUGGAGAUGGUUUGUUGUUUCUCUUGCCAAAUAAACACUUAUGACUUCUUCCUUUGUGCCCA